rnacentral:rRNA from 1 species
UACGAGGGGGGCGAGCGUUGUUCGGAAUUAUUGGGCGUAAAGGGUGCGUAGGCGGUUCCGCAAGUCCUGUGUGAAAUCUUCGGGCUCAACUCGAAGUCUGCACGGGAAACUGCGGGGCUUGAGUGUGGGAGAGGUGAGUGGGAUUCCCGGUGUAGCGGUGAAAUGCGUAGAUAUCGGGAGGAACACCUGUGGCGAAAGCGGCUCACUGGACCGUAACUGACGCUGAUGCACGAAAGCGUGGGUAGCAAACAGG